UGGACUGGGUGGAAGCCCUCGCAGGGGGUCCUGCGGUGCUAGCUUUUGUACGGCCCCUCCCAGGCCAGUCCGGAGCUGACGCACCAGCUCCCCAGAGACGCUGGGGGCGUCGCACUGCAGCUGGGUGGGGAGCAAUUUAUUCCUGGCGGUCACAUCCCACCCCAUCUUCUGUUACUCCACCCUACCCCUCCCAUCCCUCCACCUCUUCCCUCCUCCUCCUCUACCAGAGCCCGCACUAUCUUCUGGCUCUUCUUCUCUUCACCCUGCAUUCUCCCUCUCUCCUUUUCUUUUCCUCUCUCCCUUCCCCACUCCCCCUCUUUGGUGUUCUUUCCCCCUCCUCUGAAUAACCAAGCUUUUGCCUCUGAAAGUCGAGAGAGAGAGAGAGAGAGAGAGAGAGAGAGAGAGAGAGAGAGAGAGAGAGAGAGGCAUGCGGUGACUGGAAGACAGAGGGGUUCUGCUACAUCUGGGAGCGGAAAUUUGAUUCUUCUGGGCCAUGGUUUACCAGGGCCUCGCCUGAGACGCCUAAAGGAGCCUGUUUGUGUGCUGUGGCCACGUUCUGCUGUGACUGGAUCUUCUGCCUAGCGCCUCGAUUUCGGUCGGAUUGGAUUUGGGAACAACACUGCCUGGCGCAGAGAGAACAAAUAAGACUUCAAAGAAGCAUAAUAUGAAUAGGCUAUUCAACAAACAAAGACCGAGGCAGCAGUACGCCAGCAAGACGGCAUCUUCUCCUCAGCCUAGAAGUCCGGAGAAAUCGAGGAUUCCCCCCCACGCCCCCCCAAAAAACAUUCACAUACAAGAUGUGUACAAUCAAGCUGCCAGCACUUGGUAAAAAGCUCAAGGUGCCUAACCGAAUGAUCCGGAGCAGAUCUUUGAAUCAGAUAUCACCUCUAUAGAAUGGGAUUUUCCCCCUUUUCCUCUUUAAACAGCGCUGGAAACUGCCGAUGGCUUUAUACGUCUCAGUAGAGGAAAGCUGAAGAAUCUUACGGGAGAAUGAAGCAAUUUACAAUGCAAAUAGAGGCCUGUGAAGGGAUGGACUCUGCUGCUCACUCCAAACAGCUUGCUGCACCUUAGUCGCUGGUCAUGUAUUUUUUGAUAUUAAUAGAUGAAUUGUUGGCUAACGCUGCUGGAAAUUACUUGCUGGAAGGGGAAAAAAAAAGUUUGGAAUAAACUCCUGAAUGCAACACAUCUCAUUUGGAUGUUCUAGCUACACACCCUCAGACAGAAACCAGGUCAUGUUUACAUGAAACCAGGAAUCUUAAAGGCGGCAAAUAUCCCGGAGGACUAUGCUUCCCGUAGAAGAGGAUCCGGCUCUGGAGUCCAGCCAGAUGAAGACAGCCCUGUGAGGGAAGUGAGUUGUUAUCUUUGGUUAUCUAGCUGUAUGAGUGUAUUGGUCUUCAUAAAGCUAGAUAACCGAAAGUAAGAACUCCUUCAAGAUCAGCGAGGAGCGUUCCAGAAAGACUGCAGCCAAGAGACAGUAAAAACCAGAAAGGUCAGGAAUGCUUAUUGAAUCUAACUUUUUUCUUAUGAUUGGAAGUGGGCCACAAGGAAACUAAGUGACACGUAUUGAAGUGUGAAGGGUCCAGGUUGUGAAGGGGCUGUACAACUGCAGAGGAGAAUUGUGUAGUGUUUCUAUGGGCGAAGAUGCAUGUACUUUCUCUAUUGUUCUAUUUUGAAGUGAACGUUUACAUAUGAGAUUUUUUUCCCCCUAGAAAGCUGUUGUAGCUAAGCUUGGUACCUCGUUUUAAAAAUGAUUUCAUAAUUAUGUAGAUUUGGGCAGUUCUCUUCUGAGGCCCCUCCCCCAGGUUUGAAGCUUGUGCGUGGAAAAAGUUUCUAUGUAUUUGGGGCUGCACAUCAAAUUCUAUGACGUUAGACUUUCAGUAAAGCUUAUACUGAAAGGUUAAUAAUUUAUAUCUACCGAGGACUUAGAGCUAGCAGGGAAAAUGGGGCGGAGGGAGGCUGAUUUUUAUUCUUCUAUUCAAAAUACAAGGACAGAUGCUUCUGUGUUCCAAGAGGGUUUCCUUGAGGAAGCUACUGAAGCAGAAAGACAUGAUGGAGACGAGAUCACCUCCCCUCUUGUCAAAGUGCUAAAAAAAUGUUCUGUCUUACUCUGCGCCUAGCAUUGGAAAUGAAAGUGACAUUUACGCCACAACCCACGUGUGCGCCUCCUCUCUUUUUGUUUAAGGAUGAUCAGGUCUAUCCAGGAAACAGCUCUGGCAUCCCAAACUGAAAUAAUUAGGACGUAUAUAGACCUGACAAAAAUGGAAAGGGGGUGGGGAACCUAAGGGUCUGUCUUGCCUAAUUGAUUCCGCUAAACGGAAAGCAGGAGAUGUGAACGGCAGGACGCUCCGAUUCCCACGCUCGGGGGCAAGUGGUAAAGCCUGGCCCGCAGCCUAUGACAGACAGCCCUGUUGGGGGGUAGGGGUAUGAAAAAAACAUCAAGCACACACACCAUACUCAUCUCCAUCGCUUAAGAAAGUAAAGGCAUUUCCCACCCACAGCCAUCUGCAGCCUCCCAAAUGGCAGCACCAACUGCUUGGGAGCUGCUACAUACUGUCACUGUUAAUUUUUAAACCACGGUUUAAUCUAGCCAUGAUUAAAUUUGGCUUUUUUCUUUGGUUGAAACUUUCAUUCUUUAAGGAAAGCAAGUGGAAGGGGUGCCAAGAACGUCCCAGCACUGCAUGCCCUUCUUCCUCGGGUUGUGGUGAGGGUGACGGGUCACCUUUGGGCUUUUGUCUCGGCUGAGUUAUAUUUUAGAGUCAUGUCUCAUAACACUCGUCAUUAUGACUUACUUCAUCGGGUUGUUUACUUCCUUAUGUGAAACUCAGGAACUUGGCCUACUUAAGCUAAUCUACAUUCUGGAAAUAAAGCUAUAAAGUCAUCAGUCUAUAGAAAGUUUAUUACAAUCACAAUGUUAAAGAACUUGUUUUAGAAGAGUCAUAGCAGGAUGUGUUGUACACAGCUUCUGUUCUUUCUUUCUUUCUUUCUUUCUUUCUUUCUUUCUUUCUUUCUUUCUUUCUUUCUUUCUUUUCUUCUUCUUCUUCUUCAAAUCUAAAAGUAACUAGUCCUAGCAUAACUAGUCCUAGCAUAAACCUUGAGGGUUUGGAGAAAACCAUUGUAGUCCUCUGAGAUUCCUUGUAUUUUGUUAUAUGUCAUCAGGCAAACAUUUGUAUAGGCAUUUGCACAUAAAUACAACCACUGAAAUGAAAAAACAAUGUCCAAAAUUGCCUGGUAUCUUCCACAUGGCCUAAAUUACUGACAUUUUCAAAUCCAUAAUAUUUCUUCAGGAACAGUACAUAUUUCUGUAUAGCUUCAACUUCUUAUAAGAUUCAGACUGGAAAAGCCUGUUAAGCCAAUGUUAGUUUCAUUCAGAAAAGCUGAGAAACUUUAAUAACGUAAAUUCUCAAUUUGGCUGCUGACCACGUGCCAAAGUUUUACUGCUGUAGUGACUGUUGAGAAGACCCUUGUUUAUUUACCUUACCUUUGAAGCACUGUUUGUGCAAACAAGCUUUCAUUGUUAAGUGCCUGUAUUCCUUUCAUUUGCUUCAUGUCCAGGGGUGCUAUUUACCUAGAACCAUUGUCUACUACAAUUAACAUUUACAUUACAAAGUGUGUGGUUUUCUUUUUCAAGGAGGUUCAAUUAAGGCAAUAAGAUGUUUGCUGGGGAAAUCUAUUGUUUACUCAAAGCUCUCAAUGGAGUCAAAUUACUGAAGUUUUUUUUUUUUUUUUUUUGCCUACAUCUUGGUCGUUUAUGUAAAUAUGUUAACUAUAACAUCUAAGGAAAAUAAACAAUAUUAAAAUUAUAUGUUUGCCAUUGUCAUAUCCAACUUGCUUUGUAUCAUACUAAUGUUGCAUAACUUAUCAAUCAAUAAAAAUACAUUUCAAUGUUA